rnacentral:lncRNA from 1 species
GGAUUAAUUUGGUCAGGUGAAUAGUUCUGCAAAUGCACUUAGGGAAAUUGCUCUUACAUUAUCUGGAACAUUCUUUAGAAACAAUCGAAUUUUUUUCCAGCACUGGCUGAUCCCUAGGGAGCAAACAUCAAGCGGACACAUGGUUUAGCAGCCAUAGGAGCCCUUCCUGCUAUGAGAAGGUUGAACACUUUCCCUUUUUCUCCUUAAAUACCAUCUCUUUUACGCAUAACGGUAAGAUUGAGGUCCCUGUGACUCUAUAGAGAUUGUUUGUUUAUUAAAGCUGUCUUUCCCCAUUGUACCAUUUGGGAAAAAGAAUUUGUGUGCAACAGUGAGAGGAUCUUACUGGAAAAAUCUACAGAGAAGGUUCCAAACAGAUGUCUUAUGAGGUGGUAAUGACACGCCCACAAGCUACCCUGUAGAAUCCAUUGAUACCCAUAUCCUAACACAAGCUGAUCUUCUGAACCUGUGUCCAAGGCAGAGUUUACCUAGAAGUUUCCUCAAGACUUUCCCAAAGUCAGAACAUUUCAUAUUUCAGACACUGUAAAAAUCCCACACUGUCUCUGGAGACAAAGCAUAAUUUUCUAGAUAUUUUGCUAUAAUUUCUCUCUGGUACCCUGCAGAAGAAAGCACUGGAUAGGUUUGAUAAUUCCUUGUAUGGGACAUCCAGAUGCAAAUGUGGUCCUAGCCAUUAUUUUUCCUUAGAAAUUGAACCAUUUUACCAUUUACCAUUUGUACAGCAGUAUAUCAGAACUUGCCCAGAUGAUAAUUCAUAUACUUGUUUUUAUUAGGAGACCAUGAUAUUUGUGGUUAAUUCUGUGACAUGGGAAUUGUCAUAAUUACUCACAGUGCUAGAUAGCCCCUCCUCAUAGAGUACUAGUAGUGGACAGAAUUUAAUGUGUUUAGCAAUGUUUUUGUGGGUGUUGGCCAAGUACAGAAAAACUGACCUUAGAAGUUUACAACAGAGCAGCAUAGGGUGUUAUGGCCAAAUCCAUUAGCAUAAUACCUCCUGAUUGUGAGAAAUGCAGGCAACUUUAUGAAAAUAUGGUUAUCUUGAUGUCAGUAGGCCAUAAUGGUGAUCAGCCCUAGGGAACUUUUCUACCAAAUACAACUCAAACUCAAACAAAAACAGCAUAUAUCAUCAAUGUGAUAUUAGAAGACUACAAUUCAAGUAAGACAAAGAUCAUAAAAAUCAAAUCUUAGGAUUAUGGUUUUUAAAAAAUGAAUUUUCCAUCUCUGGGUAAUAUGUCCUUAUUAUUACAAGGAAACACUGAAGGGCUAUUUUUAUUUUAAAGGCUUAGUGCCAUGGACAUGUACAGAGGCUUGUGUGGAGUGGUUGCUUGUGAAGCAGGGGCUACACACAGCAAACUGUCCUGUAGAGUCCUGUUCACCAUUUUUGUCUCACCUUUGUUUUGAUAUGACCAAAUUGCAGUAUUUCUCUCUAUAUUUUUACGAAGAAAAACUCAUAAUGCAGUAUGGUUUACUUGGUGAUUGCAAACAAAAUUAAUGCUUUAAGUGUUACGCUCUCUCUUUCCCAAAGACAAUAAACCUCCCUCAGAAUUAGUUUCAUUGUCAUUUAUACCGUCAAAUAGUCAAUAGAUGAGUGCAGUAAACUUUCUGAUUAAAAACAGCUCUAAAGUGGUAUUUAUUUCUUCAUGUGACUCUGUUGAUCAAAGUGAGAGAGAGGGGUUCACAAUCUACUAGAAAAUUAAUACUUUGUCACGUGUGGUUCCACAGUACAUCAAACAACAUUAGCCCUGUGUUAUAUGUAAUUGCUAAUGUGUAUGCUUUCCCUUUAGAUCAGUAGCUCCCAAUCUUUCUGAAGCUGUGAUCCUAUGACACAGUUCCUUAC